AAUGUCACAUUUGAAAUCAGCUGCGCCUCGUAUAUUCAAGAUGGCGUGGAACUGUAAAGUUGGGUUUCAACGUUAAUUCAUUUUGUUACUGCAGAUUAGAUUUUCACAUUUUUUAUGUUUGGAUAUUAAAAAUAUGAGUUCAAGAAGGUGGUUUUGGCCCACGAUCAGCGGCAUAGACGCAGAAAAAUUGUUGAUGGAAAGAGGGGUGGAUUGCAGUUUUCUGGCCCGACCUAGUUCCUCCAACCCUGGAGAUUUUACAUUAUCUGUGAGACGCAAUGGAGAGGUCACCCACAUUAAGAUUCAAAAUUCGGGUGACUUCUACGACUUGUACGGGGGCGAAAAAUUCGCGACUCUGUCGGAGCUGGUCCAGUAUUACAUGGAGAAACAGGGACAACUGAAGGAGAAGAACGGAGAGAUUAUAGAACUGAAGUUUCCACUUAAUUGUGCAGAUCCCACAACUGAAAGGUGGUUUCAUGGACAUUUAUCUGGAAAGGAAGCCGAGAAGCUUAUAUUAGACAGGGGUAAAAAUGGUAGUUUUUUAGUUAGAGAAAGCCAAUCGAAACCAGGCGAUUUUGUACUAUCUGUUAGGACUGACGAUAAAGUAACUCACGUGAUGAUCAGGUGUACACCGGAUAACAGGUACGACGUUGGAGGUGGUGAACAGUUUAACAGUCUGGCCGACUUGAUAGAGCAUUACAAAAGGAACCCCAUGGUGGAGACGUCCGGUACAGUGGUGCAUUUAAAACAACCUUUUAACGCUACCAGAAUCAAUGCUUCCGGAAUACAUUCUAGAGUGAAACAAUUGCAGAGUGAAAAUGGACCAAAUAGUUUUGGCAAGGCGGGUUUCUGGGAAGAGUUCGAGUCACUUCAACAGCAAGAAUUCAAACACUUAUACCAGAGGAAAGAGGGAAUCAAGCCAGAAAAUAGGAAUAAGAAUAGAUAUAAGAAUAUAUUACCCUUUGACGAUACUCGGGUGAAGCUUAAAGACGUAGACCCAAAAGUUUUAGGUAGCGAUUAUAUCAAUGCCAAUUAUAUCAGAUGGAAGGUAGACGAAACCGUUGGCUCCGAAUUGGGAAGCGAUCCUAGCGGAAAAGUGUAUAUAGCCACGCAGGGUUGCCUACCUUCGACGAUUGCCGAUUUUUGGCAGAUGGUCUGGCAGGAAAAUUGUCGAGUAAUCGUUAUGACAACCAAAGAAACGGAGCGAGGGAAGAAUAAGUGUGCAAGAUAUUGGCCAGACGUGAAUUGUACAAAAGAAUAUGGAAAGAGUAAAGUGAGGACGCUUAUGGAGUCGCAUACACCACAUUAUACGUUAAGAGAAUUUUUAGUCACUAUGGAGGGUGGCAAUAGUGAAAGAAAGGUGUACCACUAUCAUUUUCAGGCGUGGCCAGAUCAUGGUGUACCGUCUGACCCCGGCUGUGUUUUAAAUUUCCUGCACGAAGUCAAUAAGCGACAGGAAUCGCUCCAGAUGGAGGCCCCCCUACAACCUCCAGGCGCCAUAUUGGUGCAUUGUUCUGCCGGUAUCGGCAGGACAGGCACAUUUAUAGUCAUAGACAUGAUUUUAGACCAGUUGAAGAAAUAUGGUCUUGAUUGCGAAAUCGACAUUCAACGUACAAUCCAAAUGGUGAGAUCUCAACGUUCCGGUAUGGUACAGACUGAAGCACAAUAUAAAUUCGUUUAUUUAGCGGUACAACAUCAUAUAGAAACAACUACUGAAAGAAUGAAGGCUGAACAAAAAUCAAUGCAACUCGGAAGAGAAUAUACAAACAUUAGAUACAGCAAUGACAUAGCGAAUAACUGUUUGUCUCCAACCACGCCCGGCGGUUUUGGAGGAAUUAGCUCGCCCAACAAUCGGUCGAGCACAACCGGCAUCACAUUUCCCUGUUCUAGUCCGAAUACCGUGACCAUAAGGCAACAGGAAAGCAAGAAGCCGGCCAGGGCGCUCUCGGAGAUUUCGUUACCAAGGGUAGAGUUAGAAGUAGAAUGUGUCGUGUAGUUCCUCGUAUCCGCUCGGUUCCUUUUCAAUUCCGACGAAUCGCUGGCAGUCUAAGACCGAAAGUAUUGUUUAUCUAUCACCUCCCGAUGACCUACUGAAACCAACACUUUACGAAAACAUUCCCGGCAAUCCCACCGGAUCCAUAGGCUGUACUGCUCCGCCCCCUCCCCCGAGAAAGGGUUCGUGACCUAAAAAAUCGCUCGCGUUCUAUUCCAAUUAUACUUAUACCUUCCCGAUGUGCUGUUGUAAAGAACUAAAAUAUUAGGUAUUAUAAGAGACAUUUAAAUUAUCCACA
rnacentral:misc_RNA from 1 species